AUACUUACCUGGCAGGGGAGAUACCAUGAUCACGAGGGUGGUUUUCCCAGGGCAAGACUUAUCCAUUGCACUCCAGAUGUGCUGACCCCUGCCAUUGCACUCCAGAUGUGUUGACCCCUGCAGUUUCCCCAAAUGUGGGAAAACCGACUGCAUAAUUAGUGGUAGUGGGGAACUGCGUUCACACUCCCCCCUA
ensembl:snRNA U1 U1 spliceosomal RNA